UUCUAAAAUUUAUACUAGAAUUUUAUUUUUUAGUCAAAAAGCUAAAAUUUAUUUAAAAGACGAGAAGACCCUAUAAAUCUUUAUAUUUAGGUUAUUAUAAUUGUAUAGAUUUUUUUUGUUAUAAUAAUUAAUAAUAUUUUAUUGGGGUGAUAUUAAAAUUUAAUGAACUUUUAAUUAUUAAAAACAUUAAUUUAUGAAUAAUUGAUCCAUUAUUAGUGAUUAAAAAAAUAAGUUACCUUAGGGAUAACAG
rnacentral:rRNA from 1 species